GACGAACGCUGGCGGCGUGCUUAACACAUGCAAGUCGAACGGAAAGGCCCUGCUUUUGUGGGGUGCUCGAGUGGCGAACGGGUGAGUAACACGUGAGUAACCUGCCCUUGACUUUGGGAUAACUUCAGGAAACUGGGGCUAAUACCGGAUAGGAGCUCCUGCUGCAUGGUGGGGGUUGGAAAGUUUCGGCGGUUGGGGAUGGACUCGCCGCUUAUCAGCUUGUUGGUGGGGUAGUGGCUUACCAAGGCUUUGACGGGUAGCCGGCCUGAGAGGGUGACCGGCCACAUUGGGACUGAGAUACGGCCCAGACUACUACGGGAGGCAGCAGUGGGGAAUAUUGCACAAUGGGCGGAAGCCUGAUGCAGCAACGCCGCGUGCGGGAUGACGGCCUUCGGGUUGUAAACCGCUUUCGCCUGUGACGAAGCGUGAGUGACGGUAAUGGGUAAAGAAGCACCGGCUAACUACGUG
rnacentral:rRNA from 1 species